GGCCCCGUAGCUUAGGCUGGAUAGAGCGCCAGGCUUCGGACCUGGAGGUCGGGGGUUCAAAUCCCUCCGGGGUCG
rnacentral:tRNA from 1 species